rnacentral:rRNA from 1 species
GUGAGGGAUAUUGGUCAAUGGGCGCAAGCCUGAACCAGCGACGCCGCGUGGGUGAAGAAGGUCUUCGGAUCGUAAAGCCCUUUUCCCACUGAAGAGGAAGGACGGUAGGUGGGGAAGAAGUCUCGGCUAACUACGUGCCAGCAGCCGCGGUAAAACGUAGGAGACAAGCGUUAUCCGGAGUUACUGGGCGUAAAGGGCGUGCAGGUGGCGUCUUAAGUCUGUUGUGAAAGCGCCUGGCUUAACCGGGCGAGGCCAAUGGAGACUGAGAGGCUGGAGGACGGCGGAGGGGUGUGGAAUUCCGGGUGUAGUGGUGAAAUGCGUAGAGAUCCGGAGGAACACCAGAGGCGAAGGCGGCACUCUAAGCCGUACCUGACACUGAGACGCGACAGCACGGGGAGCAAACG